UUAAAGUCAUAAUUAUUCCUCAAAAUCUUUUCCACCGAGGGUAUUUUUGUAAAAAAUUAUUUUUUUAAAAGAAAAUUUUGCAAUUCAUGUAUUUUUAAUACAUCAAAUCAAAUAUUGCAUAAGAAAAAUGUAAGCAUAGCUAACACAAAUAUUAUUAAUUCAAACAUUACUGAUGCACCAUAUUUUGCAUUAUUCCUAUACACUCUACCAAACGACCCCUAAGUAAUUCACGAUGGGUGAGUCCAGGCCGUAAGAUUAGAUUUAAAGGCGUCGUUGAUGGGCAACAGGUGAAUAUAUGGUUUUCGGUUCAAGAACGUAAGGUAUCCUUGCUUUACCAGGGUGAGAAGGGAUAGAGAAAAUGCCUCGAGCAAGUGUUCGAAUACACUAUCCUUAGCAUUUGAUCAGUUUCUUGAGCUAUUGAAAUGUCUGAAAACUAUAAAAUAAAUAAAAAAAAUGGGCAGCUCGGUGCACUAUAACUAUCGCUAUGCGCGGUGUCCGAGGAAGGGCCCCAUCAGAAGGGUGUAUCGUACGUAGCCUUACCUUGCAUUUCUGUCAGAGGCUGUUUCCAAGGCUUGAACCCGUGACCUCCUGGUCACAUGGCAACAACUUUACCAGUCAUCUGAUUUAUCAUCUUUAUGAUUUGCAACUAUUAGCUUCUGCAUGACCAUUCAACCGAUUUCGAAUCCCACACAUUUUUUUGUUGAUUUAUCGCCUUUAUGGUUUGCAACUAUUAACUUCCGCACGACGCCCAAUUGAUUUUGAACCCCACAUUUUUUUGCUCCAUUAGUGACUGAAACUCACAGCCUUGGGUUGUUUACCAUCCGAGUNNNNNNN
rnacentral:lncRNA from 1 species